rnacentral:lncRNA from 1 species
CCUUCUAGGUGAGCCCAUAUUGAAUAUCAGCUGUGAAAGAUACAGAAUUUCACCUUAAUUCUCUAGAAGAAGAAUGACAGGAAAUAAAUUAAGGUCCUAAACUGCUCGUCUGUUCCUUUAACAAGUGUGACUAUGGAUUGGAGAGUCUUCUGAAUUCGAGAAUUUCAGUUCACCUCAGCAUGAAGCAAAGAGUUCACAAAGUACCUAGCACCCAUGAGUAUUUCCACAGGUAGAAGUUGAGUCUGAAGUUAAAUCUCACAGAAGCCAACAGAGGUGAGUUUAAGAAGGAAAUGCUAUUGAGUAUUGCCAGAUGUGAUGGGAUAAUCCAGAGACACAAGAAUUGAUGUGAUGGGUUAUAUUAUAUAAAACACUAACCUCAAAUGUAGGGGAAUUAAUAGAAGAGAUUAC